ACUCCUACGGGAGGCAGCAGUGGGGAAUAUUGGACAAUGGGCGCAAGCCUGAUCCAGCCAUGCCGCGUGAGUGAUGAAGGCCCUAGGGUUGUAAAGCUCUUUCACCGGAGAAGAUAAUGACGGUAUCCGGAGAAGAAGCCCCGGCUAACUUCGUGCCAGCAGCCGCGGUAAUACGAAGGGGGCUAGCGUUGUUCGGAAUUACUGGGCGUAAAGCGCACGUAGGCGGAUCGAUCAGUCAGGGGUGAAAUCCCAGGGCUCAACCCUGGAACUGCCUUUGAUACUGUCGAUCUGGAGUAUGGAAGAGGUGAGUGGAAUUCCGAGUGUAGAGGUGAAAUUCGUAGAUAUUCGGAGGAACACCAGUGGCGAAGGCGGCUCACUGGUCCAUUACUGACGCUGAGGUGCGAAAGCGUGGGGAGCAAACAGGAUUAGAUACCCUUGUAGUCCCAUGAU
rnacentral:rRNA from 1 species